rnacentral:sRNA from 1 species
CUUUCGGUAAAUGACAGUGGCUCAGGAAACCAAGGGGCCCACACAGGAAGGAGCCGAGUGGGACUUUCCUCUCGCUGCCUCCCGGCUCUGCCCUCCCUUCGAAGGUCCAGGGUCCCUGCCCGCUAGGCAAGUUGCACUCAUGGCACCUCCAAGUGAAGAGACGCCCCUGAUCCCUCAGCGUUCAUGCAGCCUCUUGUCCACGGAGGCUGGUGCCCUGCAUGUGCUGCUGCCCGCUCGGGGCCCCGGGCCCCCCCAGCGCCUAUCUUUCUCCUUUGGGGACCACUUGGCUGAGGACCUGUGCGUGCAGGCUGCCAAGGCCAGCGCUUUUACUUCCCCAAUUGGUUUGGGCUGGAGAAGUGCCACCGCUUCGGGCUACGCAAGGAUUUGGCCAGUGCUAUCCUUGACCUGCCAGUCCUGGAGCACCUCUUUGCCCAGCACCGCAGUGACCUGGUGAGUGGGCGCCUCCCCAUGGGCCUCAGUCUCAAGGAGCAGGGUGAGUGUCUCAGCCUGGCCGUGUUGGACCUGGCCCGGAUGGCGCGAGAGCAGGCCCAGCGGCCGGGAGAGCUGCUGAAGACUGUCAGGUGAGAGCCACCAGGCUGUGGGGACGGCCUCUGCUUGGGAGUGAGCAACGUGGGCUCCAUCGGGGCUUUGCCGGGCUCCCACCAUGGAGUUCUCCUGCAAGCUUUCAGGGUGUUCCUAUGACCCAGGGCCUCCCACGAACCCAGCCCUCUCCACCCCCAGGCUCCAGCUGGACAGACACCUGACCUCCCCCAGCUAAAAGGCCUGUGGGGUCCCUGUCCGACCUGUGGGCGCCAAUGGCCCUCCCCUACUCUGAGGUCCGGUCCUCAUACCUGACCCUGAAUGAGAGUCUGUGUGUGCCUGGUGCCCCAACUAGGGCCGCACCCCAGCCCCUGGGCUAAAGCCUGGGUUUGUGUGUGUCCCCGCGGGGACCCCUCCCGACGCUGAGGGCCGGCUCCCUCCCCUCCAACCCCUGCAGCUACAAGGCCUGCCUACCCCCAAGCCUGCGCGACCUGAUCCAGGGCCUGAGCUUCGUGACGCGGAGGCGUAUUCGGAGGACGGUGCGCAGAGCCCUGCGCCGCGUGGCCGCCUGCCAGGCAGACCGGCACUCGCUCAUGGCCAAGUACAUCAUGGACCUGGAGCGGCUGGAUCCAG